GAAUCUAUAACUAAAGCACCACUGGAAGAUGCCCAUCCAGCCUUUGUGUAAGGAUCUCCAAAGAUGGAGGGUUCACCACUUUCUGAGGCAGUCUAUUCCAUGACUGAACAGUUUUCUCACACGAAGGAAGUUCAUUCUCAUCUUCAGGUUUCGCUCGUCUCUUAA
rnacentral:lncRNA from 1 species